CAAACCACGGACCAGCUCUGGGAUUCGGAGUUGGCUCCCUCGACCAAAGAAAUAACAUCUAUAAACAAAUUUAAUUAAGAGAUAAAAGAGCAUAGAGAGAAGCAAAUUAGAAUUAAUAUUGCUAGAGAGAACCAAUAUAAGUAUCAACAAAUGCGAGUAUUGACAGGCACAUAUUUAUUCCAGAGGGAAAGAGAAAGAGAAACAUUAAACUGAUGAGUCCAUUACAAUAGAAAAAUCGAUGAAAAGAUACAAGAAAGAUCUAAUGAUUUCGAAGAAGUACAUAUUAGAUAUUCCGCUAUGAUGUCAAGGCGAACGGGAUACGAGUGUACUACAUGUUUCCGCAAGGCAGAUAGAAAAUACGGUAUUCCAAGUAUAAAUGCAUAACGAUGUCUCACGGAUCAUUUGUUAAAGUAUGUGGAGGUGGUUUAUGCGAAGAGACGUUUCGAGGAAGCGCUUACUGAACUAGAAGGACAUGUACAUCGUGAUCCACGUUUAUGUCGCAUAAUAUAUAUUCAUUAUACAGUAAUGCUUAUCUAUUGUU